GAUGAUGGAUUUCUGGUGGAAUAC
rnacentral:siRNA from 1 species